GUGAAUCAUCAAAUUUUUGAACGCAAAUUGCGCCCUUUUCGGAAGGCAUGUCUGUUUGGGGGCACCCUUUAACAAAUAAUGUGUAUUUCGUGUGCACACGUUGAUGAGCUUUCCAAAAUUAUGUUUUUUUAUUUUUGGUGGUGCAUAAUAAACAGCGCGUUGCUUUUUUUCAGUUCGAGUGUAGUAAAUUUUUUUCUUGCUUGGGUUGUGAAAAGCGUGACUGUGCAAUGGGUGUGGCGAUUCU
rnacentral:misc_RNA from 1 species